AUGAACGCUGGCGGCGUGCUUAACACAUGCAAGUCGAGCGAGAAAGCUCCUUCGGGAGUUAGUACAGCGGCGGACGAGUGAGUAACACGUGAGAACCUACCCUUUAGUGAAGAAUACCCACGAGAAAUUGUGGUUAAUACUGCAUACGUCCCUUCGGGGAGAAAGGUGGCUUUAUGCUACCGCUAAUGGAUGGGCUUGCGGACUAUCAGCUUGUUGGUGGGGUAAAGGCCCACCAAGGCUAUGACGGUUAACCGGCCUGAGAGGGUGUACGGUCACGUUGGAACUGAGAUACGGUCCAGACUCCUACGGGAGGCAGCAGUGAGGAAUAUUGCACAAUGGGCGAAAGCCUGAUGCAGCGACGCCGCGUGGAGGAUGACGGCCUUCGGGUUGUAAACUCCUGUUAAGUGGGAUAAAAUCCUUACCUCUAAUACAGGUAAGGGAUGAUAGUACCAUUAGAGAAAGCACCGGCUAACUUCGU
rnacentral:rRNA from 1 species